GCUACGUAAAGAGAGUGACGAGUCAUAUACAUUUGGCAAGAAACCAUGAAGCUGCCUACAGCCGUCUCGGUGGCAUAAGAACACAAGAAAUUGUGUUAAUUAAUCAAAGCUAUAAAUAACGCUCGCAUGCCUGUGCACUUCUCCAUCACCACCACUGGGUCUUCAGACCAUUAGCUUUAUCUACUCCAGAGCGCAGAAGAACCCGAUCGACACCAUGAGGGUGUUGCUCGUUGCCCUCGCUCUCCUGGCUCUCGCUGCGAGCGCCACCUCCACGCAUACAAGCGGCGGCUGCGGCUGCCAGCCACCGCCGCCGGUUCAUCUACCGCCGCCGGUGCAUCUGCCACCUCCGGUUCACCUGCCACCUCCGGUGCAUCUCCCACCGCCGGUCCACCUGCCGCCGCCGGUCCACCUGCCACCGCCGGUCCAUGUGCCGCCGCCGGUUCAUCUGCCGCCGCCACCAUGCCACUACCCUACUCAACCGCCCCGGCCUCAGCCUCAUCCCCAGCCACACCCAUGCCCGUGCCAACAGCCGCAUCCAAGCCCGUGCCAGCUGCAGGGAACCUGCGGCGUUGGCAGCAC
rnacentral:lncRNA from 1 species